rnacentral:rRNA from 1 species
UACGUAGGGUGCGAGCGUUUGUCCGGAAUUACUGGGGCGUAAAGCGUGCGCAGGCGGUGAUGUAAGACAGAUGUGAAAUCCCCCGGGCUCAACCUGGGAACUGCAUUUGUGACUGCAUCGCUGGAGUGCGGCAGAGGGGGGAUGGAAUUCCGCGUGUAGCAGUGAAAUGCGUAGAUAUGCGGAGGAACACCGAUGGCGAAGGCAAUCCCCCUGGGCCUGCACUGACGCUCAUGCACGAAAAGCGUGGGGAGCAAACAGG